rnacentral:sRNA from 1 species
AUUGCAGAAUUCAGUGAAUCAUCGAAUCUUUGAACGCACCUUGCGCCACGUGGUAUUCCACGAGGCACGCCUGUUUGAGUGUCACGUUAACCAUCGCGUUGUGGAUUGAACCUUUGGCUUUUUCUGGCUUUAACCGGCCGGGGGGAGCUGAUCAGUAUGUCUGUGGGGCGGAUUUGGAGGCUUGCCGUGACAACGGCUCCUCUCGAAAUGCAUUAGCUGUCUAAGGACCGCGCCGCUGGUGUGAUAAUUUACUUUGCGCCUAUGGAACGGACUGGUGGUGGCUCAUAAACCGCCCGCAAGGGCAACAAACUUAAGCUUUGACCUCAAAUCAGGUGGGACUACCCGCUGAACUUAA